CCUACGGGGGGCAGCAGUGGGGAAUAUUGGGCAAUGGGCGCAAGCCUGACCCAGCAACGCCGCGUGAAGGAAGAAGGCUUUCGGGUUGUAAACUUCUUUUCUGAGGGACGAAGAAAGUGACGUUACCCCAGUAAUAAGCCACGGCUAACUACGUGCCAGCAGCCGCGGUAAUACGUAGGUGGCAAGCGUUAUCCGGCGUUAUUGGGUGUAAAGGGCGUGUAGGCGGGAAAACAAGUCAGAUGUGAAAACUCAGGGCUCAACCCUGAGCCUGCAUUUGAAACUGUUUUUCUUGAGUGCUGGAGAGGCAAUCGGAAUUCCGGGUGUAGCGGUAAAAUGCGUAGAUAUAAGGAGGAACACCAGUGGCGAAGGCGGAUUGCUGGACAGUAACUGACGCUGAGGCGCGAAAGCGUGGGGAGCAAACAGGAUUAGAUACCCUUGUAGUC
rnacentral:rRNA from 1 species